rnacentral:tRNA from 1 species
AAUCCGUCGACUUUUGAAAUCGUGAGGGUUCAAGU